GACGAACGCUGGCGGCGUGCUUAACACAUGCAAGUCGAGCGAUGAAGCUCCUUCGGGAGUGGAUUAGCGGCGGACGGGUGAGUAACACGUGGGUAACCUGCCUCAUAGAGGGGAAUAACCUUCCGAAAGGAAGAUUAAUACCGCAUAAGAUUGUAGUGCCGCAUGGCAUAGCAAUUAAAGGAGUAAUCCGCUAUGAGAUGGACCCGCGUCGCAUUAGCUAGUUGGUGAGGUAACGGCUCACCAAGGCGACGAUGCGUAGCCGACCUGAGAGGGUGAUCGGCCACAUUGGGACUGAGACACGGCCCAGACUCCUACGGGAGGCAGCAGUGGGGAAUAUUGCACAAUGGGGGAAACCCUGAUGCAGCAACGCCGCGUGAGUGAUGAAGGUCUUCGGAUUGUAAAACUCUGUCUUCAGGGACGAUAAUGACGGUACCUGAGGAGGAAGCCACGGCUAACUACGUGCCAGCCGCCGCUGUAAUAC
rnacentral:rRNA from 1 species